rnacentral:rRNA from 1 species
AUUGAACGCUGGCGGCAUGCUUUACACAUGCAAGUCGAACGGCAGCGCGGGCUUCGGCCUGGCUGCGAGUGGCGAACGGGUGAGUAAUGCAUCGGAACGUGCCCAGUAGUGGGGGAUAGCCGGGCGAAAGCCGGAUUAAUACCGCAUACGACCUGAGGGUGUAAGGGGGGGAGCGAAAGGCCUCGCGCUCUUGGAGCGGCCGAUGUCGGAGUAGCUAGUUGGUGGGGUAAAGGCGUACCAAGGCGACGAUCCGUAGCUGGUCUGAGAGGAUGAACAGCCACACUGGGACUGAGACACGGCCCAGACUCCUACGGGAGGCAGCAGUGGGGAAUUUUGGACAAUGGGGGCAACCCUGAUCCAGCCAUGCCGCGUGCGGGAAGAAGGCCUUCGGGUUGUAAACCGCUUUUGUUCGGGAAGAAAUCCUCUGGGCUAAUACCCCGGGGGGAUGACGGUACCGGAAGAAUAAGCACCGGCUAACUACGUG